ensembl:lncRNA
CAGAACUUAUCCGAGUUGCACUGAGGGAGAGAGAGAGAGAGAUAGUAUCGGGUCUGUUUUUAGGUAUCAGUAGUAUUAUCGGGUCUGUUAGUUGUUCCCAGUAGUAUUAUCGGGUCUGUUUAGUAGUUCCCAGUAGUAUUAUCGGGUCUGUUUAUUGUUCCCAGUAGUAUUAUCGGGUCUGUUAGUUGUUCCCAGUAGUAUUAUCGGGUCUGUUAGUUGUUCUCAGUAGUAUUAUCGGGUCUGUUAGUAGUUCCCAGUAGUAUUAUCGGGUCUGUUAGUUGUUCCCAGUAGUAUUAUUGGGUCUGUUAGUUGUUCUCAGUAGUAUUAUUGGGUCUGUUAGUAGUUCUCAGUAGUAUUAUCGGGUCUGUUAGUAGUUCUCAGUAGUAUUAUUGGGUCUGUUAGUUGUUCUCAGUAGUAUUAUUGGGUCUGUUAGUUGUUCCCAGUAGUAUUAUCGGGUCUGUUAUUAGUUCUCACUAGUAUUAUCGGGUCUGUUAGUAGUUCUCCCUAGUAUUUAUCAGGUCUGUUAGUAGUUCUCAGUAGUAUUAUCGGGUCUGUUAGUUGUUCUCAGUAGUAUUAUUGGGUCUGUUUGUUGUUUCCCUAGUAUUAUCUAGUAGUUCUCAGUAGUAUUAUCGGGUCUUUUAGUUUAUCUCAGUAGUAUUAUCGGGUCUGUUAGUUGUUCUCAGUAGUAUUAUCGGGUCUUUUAGUUGUUCCCAGUAGUAUUAUCGGGUCUGUUAGUUGUUCCCAGUAG